rnacentral:lncRNA from 1 species
AACACAGAAGUGUGCCAGCUUCAUUUGAUGUGGAUGUACCAGAUAUUCAUGUGUCAGAAAUACUGAGAAAGCCUGGGAAGAAAGAGAGGCUGGAAUGUAUUGCUUUAGUGGAAUAUGUCUCCAUGGGCUGGCAAUACGAAAGAUGUGAAGGACUUCCUGUGUGGCUGACGAUCUGAAGGGAAGAGCCACAGAAGACACAGAGGACAACUGCU